AGAUGGAUGUGCUUCUAGAUUUGCCAGCCGAAUUCUCCACGGGCCACAAGCAAAGCUCCCCCAAAUCCAUGCUCAUUAAAUUGCCCUCUCGAGGUGCAGUCGGUGAGACUACAAGAAGGAUAUAUACAAUUGUUGCCUUUCCUUUUAAGCAGAGCUUUGAACAGGGCUGCUUCUCUCUCUGUCAGACACUGCCAGAUGAGAAAACCGAGACCCAGAGAGAGGAAAGCUAAGGAUACAGCUAAGCCGAUUUCCAACCUGUUAUCUCUGCCACAUUGAUGAGC